GGGGAUGUAGUUUUAAUUGGUAAAACGUCUGCUUUGCACGCAGAAUUUGGGAGUUCGAACCUCCUCUUCUCCA
rnacentral:tRNA from 1 species